CGCACGCGGGAUUCGCGGCCGUCCGGAAAAUAUCCGGCGCGGCCGUUCCGGUGUCGAAGGGCUUUCUGGCCUUUUGACUCAACUGUCCCGCGGAGGUUCAACCGGAAAAGGAAAGAC
rnacentral:sRNA from 1 species